AUUGAACGCUGGCGGCAGGCUUAACACAUGCAAGUCGAGCGGAGCGGCGGACGGGUGAGUGUUGCUUAGGAAUCUGCCUCUUAGUGUGGGACACCAUCUCGCAAUGGAAGCUAAUUCCUCAUACUUGUCGAAGAGCCUUAUUCUGAUUAGCUAGUUGGUGGGGUAAAGGCCUAACAAGGCUACGAUGUGUAGCGGGUCUGAGAGGAUGAUCCGCCAAACUGGGACUGAGACACGGCCCAGACUCCUACGGGAGGCAGCAGUGGGGAAUAUUGGGCAAUGGGGGAAACCCUGAUCCAGCCAUGCCGCGUGUGUGAAGAAGGCCUUAGGGUUGUAAAGCACUUUAAGCGAGGAGGCGUUACUCGCAGAAUAAGCACCGGCUAACUCUGUGCCAGCAGCCGCGGUAAUAC
rnacentral:rRNA from 1 species